UACGAAGGGGGCGAGCGUUGUUCGGAGUUACUGGGCGUAAAGGGCGCGUAGGCGGCGAUCCAAGUUAGGCGUGAAAGCCCCGGGCUUAACCUGGGAAUUGCGCUUAAGACUGGACUGCUUGAGUGCGGGAGAGGUGAGUGGAAUUCCCAGUGUAGAGGUGAAAUUCGUAGAUAUCGUAAGGAAGACCAGUGGCGAAGGCGAAUCUCUGGACAGUUACUGACACUGAGGCACGAAGGCCAGGGGAGCAAACGGG
rnacentral:rRNA from 1 species